rnacentral:rRNA from 1 species
ACCGCCCGUCACGCCACGAAAGUCUGUCUCACCCGAAGUCGCUGCGCUAACCGCAAGGAAGCAGACGCCGAAGGUAGGGCCGAUGAUUGGGACG